UCACUUUGAAAAAAUUAGCGUGUUUAAGGCAGGCAGAAUAUAAUUUGCUUUGAAUAGUCCAGCAUGGAAUGACAGAAUAGGACCGCCGUCCGGAGUUUACUGGCCUUCUGGCGAGUUUGCGGAAUGUUUGGUGGUAAUGAUUGAUAGGGACAGUCUUGGGGGUGCUCGUAUUCAGCGGCCAGAGGUGAAAUUCACGGAUUCGCUGAAGACGAACUACUGCGAAAGCAUUCACCAAGGAUGUCUUCUUUGAUCAAGAACGAAAGUUGGGGGAUCGAAGAUGAUCAGAUACCGUCGUAGUCUCAACCAUAAACGAUGCCGACUAGCGAUCGGCGGUCGUUGGGAAGGCUGGCGAGUGCAGGGCAACUUGUGUUCACCAGCCGAUCAAUCGACCCCGUCGGGAGCUGGCGGGAAACCAUUAAGUGUCUGGGUUCUGGGGGGAGUAUGGUCGCAAGGCUGAAACUUAAAGGAAUUGACGGAAGGGCACACAAGCAAUGGAAUUUGCGGCUUAAUUUGACCCAACACGGGAAAACUUACCAAGUCCGGACACAAGGAGGAUUGACAGAUUUACAGAUCUUUCAUUAGAUUUUGUGAGUAGUGGCGCAUGGCCGUUCGUAGUUGGUGGAGCGAUCUGUCUGGUUCAUUCCGAUAACGAACGAGACCUCGACCUGCUAAAUAGCCCUCGCGGCGACUCGGGGUCGGCGGGUUGGUCAAGCCCUUCGGGGUGAGGCCGCUCGUUGUAUCCCGGCCAAAGUCUCCGGCGAUUCGGGGCUUCUUAGAGGGACCACCGGCUCGCACUGAGUGCUCAAGCCGGGGGAAGUUCGAGGCAAUAACAGGUCUGUGAUGCCCUUAGAUGUCUUGGGCUGCACGCGAGUUACACUGAUGCAUUCAGCGAGUCUGCAGUGAUUUUCUCCAUGGGUCAAACUAUGGAGGUCACAGCUUCCUCGACCGGAAGGUCAAGGGUAAUCUUAUGAACAUGCAUCGUGAUGGGGAUAGAUCAUUGCAAUUAUUGAUCUUGAACGAGGAAUUUCUAGUAAGCGCGGGUCAUCAGCCCGCAUUGAUUACGUCCCUGCCCUUUGUACACACCGCCCGUCGCUUCUACCGAUUGAAUGGUCCGGUGAAAUCGACGGACUCGACUGGCUCGUUUCUGCGGGCACUGGUUGGGGAAGUCGAUUAAACCUUAUCAUUUAGAGGAAGAAGAAGUCGUAACAAGGUUUCCGU
rnacentral:rRNA from 1 species